AUCUCGAAAGCCUAUCUCAGUUCGGAUUGGAGGCUGAAACCCGCCUCCAUGAAGUUGGAUUCGCUAGUAAUCGCGCAUCAGCCAUGGCGCGGUGAAUACGUUCCCGGGCCUUGUACACACCGCCCGUCAAGCCAUGGGAGCCGGGGGUGCCUGAAGUUCGUUACCGUAAGGAUCGACCUAGGGCAAAACUGGUGACUGGGGCUAAGUCGUAACAAGGUACC
rnacentral:rRNA from 1 species